GGGUUGUGAGGUUAAGCGACUAAGCGUACACGGUGGAUGCCCUGGCAGUCAGAGGCGAUGAAGGACGUGCUAAUCUGCGAAAAGCGUCGGUAAGGUGAUAUGAACCGUUAUAACCGGCGAUGUCCGAAUGGGGAAACCCAGUGCAAUUCGUUGCACUAUCGUUAACUGAAUACAUAGGUUAACGAGGCGAACCGGGGGAACUGAAACAUCUAAGUACCCCGAGGAAAAGAAAUCAACCGAGAUUCCCCCAGUAGCGGCGAGCGAACGGGGAGCAGCCCAGAGUCUGAAUCAGCUUGUGUGUUAGUGGAACGGUCUGGAAAGUCCGACGGUACAGGGUGAUAGUCCCGUACACCAAAAUGCACAGGUUGUGAACUCGAAGAGUAGGGCGGGACACGUGGUAUCCUGUCUGAAUAUGGGGGGACCAUCCUCCAAGGCUAAAUACUCCUGACUGACCGAUAGUGAACCAGUACCGUGAGGGAAAGGCGAAAAGAACCCCGGCGAGGGGAGUGAAAAAGAACCUGAAACCGUGUACGUACAAGCAGUGGGAGCACCUUCGGGUGUGACUGCGUACCUUUUGUAUAAUGGGUCAGCGACUUAUAUUCUGUAGCAAGGUUAACCGUAUAGGGGAGCCGCAGGGAAACCGAGUCUUAACUGGGCGUUAAGUUGCAGGGUAUAGACCCGAAACCCGGUGAUCUAGCCAUGGGCAGGUUGAAGGUUGGGUAACACUAACUGGAGGACCGAACCGACUAAUGUUGAAAAAUUAGCGGAUGACUUGUGGCUGGGGGUGAAAGGCCAAUCAAACCGGGAGAUAGCUGGUUCUCCCCGAAAGCUAUUUAGGUAGCGCCUCGUGAACUCAUCUUCGGGGGUAGAGCACUGUUUCGGCUAGGGGGUCAUCCCGACUUACCAACCCGAUGCAAACUACGAAUACCGAAGAAUGUUAUCACGGGAGACACACGGCGGGUGCUAACGUCCGUCGUGAAGAGGGAAACAACCCAGACCGCCAGCUAAGGUCCCAAAGUCAUGGUUAAGUGGGAAACGAUGUGGGAAGGCACAGACAGCCAGGAUGUUGGCUUAGAAGCAGCCAUCAUUUAAAGAAAGCGUAAUAGCUCACUGGUCGAGUCGGCCUGCGCGGAAGAUGUAACGGGGCUAAACCAUGCACCGAAGCUGCGGCAGCGACACUAUGUGUUGUUGGGUAGGGGAGCGUUCUGUAAGCCUGCGAAGGUGUGCUGUGAGGCAUGCUGGAGGUAUCAGAAGUGCGAAUGCUGACAUAAGUAACGAUAAAGCGGGUGAAAAGCCCGCUCGCCGGAAGACCAAGGGUUCCUGUCCAACGUUAAUCGGGGCAGGGUGAGUCGACCCCUAAGGCGAGGCCGAAAGGCGUAGUCGAUGGGAAACAGGUUAAUAUUCCUGUACUUGGUGUUACUGCGAAGGGGGGACGGAGAAGGCUAUGUUAGCCGGGCGACGGUUGUCCCGGUUUAAGCAUGUAGGCUGGUUGUCCAGGCAAAUCCGGAUAAUCAAGGCUGAGGUGUGAUGACGAGGCACUACGGUGCUGAAGUAACAAAUGCCCUGCUUCCAGGAAAAGCCUCUAAGCAUCAGGUAACAUCAAAUCGUACCCCAAACCGACACAGGUGGUCAGGUAGAGAAUACCAAGGCGCUUGAGAGAACUCGGGUGAAGGAACUAGGCAAAAUGGUGCCGUAACUUCGGGAGAAGGCACGCUGGUGUGUAGGUGAAGUCCCUGCGGAUGGAGCUGAGACCAGUCGAAGAUACCAGCUGGCUGCAACUGUUUAUUAAAAACACAGCACUGUGCAAACACGAAAGUGGACGUAUACGGUGUGACGCCUGCCCGGUGCCGGAAGGUUAAUUGAUGGGGUUAUCCGUAAGGAGAAGCUCUUGAUCGAAGCCCCGGUAAACGGCGGCCGUAACUAUAACGGUCCUAAGGUAGCGAAAUUCCUUGUCGGGUAAGUUCCGACCUGCACGAAUGGCGUAAUGAUGGCCAGGCUGUCUCCACCCGAGACUCAGUGAAAUUGAACUCGCUGUGAAGAUGCAGUGUACCCGCGGCAAGACGGAAAGACCCCGUGAACCUUUACUAUAGCUUGACACUGAACAUUGAGCCUUGAUGUGUAGGAUAGGUGGGAGGCUUUGAAGCGUGGACGCCAGUCUGCGUGGAGCCAACCUUGAAAUACCACCCUUUAAUGUUUGAUGUUCUAACGUUGGCCCCUUACCGGGGUUGCGGACAGUGUCUGGUGGGUAGUUUGACUGGGGCGGUCUCCUCCCAAAGCGUAACGGAGGAGCACGAAGGUUAGCUAAUCCUGGUCGGACAUCAGGAGGUUAGUGCAAUGGCAUAAGCUAGCUUGACUGCGAGCGUGACGGCGCGAGCAGGUGCGAAAGCAGGUCAUAGUGAUCCGGUGGUUCUGAAUGGAAGGGCCAUCGCUCAACGGAUAAAAGGUACUCCGGGGAUAACAGGCUGAUACCGCCCAAGAGUUCAUAUCGACGGCGGUGUUUGGCACCUCGAUGUCGGCUCAUCACAUCCUGGGGCUGAAGUAGGUCCCAAGGGUAUGGCUGUUCGCCAUUUAAAGUGGUACGCGAGCUGGGUUUAGAACGUCGUGAGACAGUUCGGUCCCUAUCUGCCGUGGGCGCUGGAGAACUGAGGGGGGCUGCUCCUAGUACGAGAGGACCGGAGUGGACGCAUCACUGGUGUUCGGGUUGUCAUGCCAAUGGCACUGCCCGGUAGCUAAAUGCGGAAGAGAUAAGUGCUGAAAGCAUCUAAGCACGAAACUUGCCCCGAGAUGAGUUCUCCCUGACCCUUUAAGGGUCCUGAAGGAACGUUGAAGACGACGACGUUGAUAGGCCGGGUGUGUAAGCGCAGCGAUGCGUUGAGCUAACCGGUACUAAUGAACCGUGAGGCUUAACCUUACAACGCCGAAG
rnacentral:rRNA from 1 species